GUUGUGGCUCAGCGGUAGAGCACUCACCUAGCAUGUGUGAGGUCUUGGGUUUGAUCCUCAGCACAACA
rnacentral:tRNA from 1 species